ACAGAUUGUAAAAUUGAUCCGAGGUCAUUUGAGUUUAAGUACAACAAUUUUCGCAAACCUGAGACAUUGUGGCCAUCCGAAGAUAAUGUUGAGCUGCCCUUGCAUUUCAACAUUUCACACACUACUUCUUUGAUUGCCUGUGGCAUGGCUAUGGAUGAUAUUGGCAUCGAUAUUGAAGAGAAGAAGCGGAAGACAACCAAGAGUAUUUUAUCUCUUGCUCGUCGUUUUUUCACCCCUUCAGAAGUUGAUUAUCUCGCUGAGAUUUCUGAUUUGUAUGCUCAGGAAAAGGAAUUCUUCAAACUAUGGACUCUUAAAGAAGCAUAUGUAAAGGCUCUUGGAUUGGGUUUGUCAGGUGCUUCACUCAGUGAGUUUACAAUCAACUUGGCAACAAGCAAGGGAGUUCGGGUUUCUAAGGCAUCGAAGGUAUGUAAACAUUCCAACCCUGGGUGUGGUCAUCUGUCCGAGAAUUGGCUAUUUGCACUCGCGAAGCUAAAUAGUUCUCAUUAUAUGGCAGUUUGUAUGGAGGAUGACUCGAGAUGUCUAGGUCCUGAAAGUAGUCCAGUGCCAGUAGGAUUAAAAGUAUGGAAGACUAUACCAUUUGUAGAAGAUACACUUGUCUCUGGAACAGAAGCUGUCAAACUUAUUCCUUGA
rnacentral:rRNA from 1 species